CUCAGAUGAACGCUGGCGGCGUGCCUAAUACAUGCAAGUCGAGCGAAUGGAUUAAGAGCUUGCUCUUAUGAAGUUAGCGGCGGACGGGUGAGUAACACGUGGGUAACCUGCCCAUAAGACUGGGAUAACUCCGGGAAACCGGGGCUAAUACCGGAUAACAUUUUGAACCGCAUGGUUCGAAAUUGAAAGGCGGCUUCGGCUGUCACUUAUGGAUGGACCCGCGUCGCAUUAGCUAGUUGGUGAGGUAACGGCUCACCAAGGCAACGAUGCGUAGCCGACCUGAGAGGGUGAUCGGCCACAUGGGAUGA
rnacentral:rRNA from 1 species